AGAAUCAACGCUGGCGGCGUGCCUAACACAUGCAAGUCGAACGCGAAAGGGGCUUCGGCCCUGAGUAGAGUGGCGAACGGGUGAGUAACACGUGGGUGAUCUACCUUUGAGUGGGGAUAACGUCCCGAAAGGCGCUAAUACCGCAUGACGUUCUGGGUUUGAAGACCUGGAAACCAAAGCCGGGACCGCAAGGCCUGGCGCUUGAAGAGGAGCCCGCGUCCGAUUAGCUAGUUGGCGGGUAAUGGCCCACAAGGCGACGAUCGGUA
rnacentral:rRNA from 1 species